rnacentral:rRNA from 1 species
AGCGAACGCUGGCGGCAGGCCUAACACAUGCAAGUCGAGCGCCGUAGCAAUACGGAGCGGCAGACGGGAGAGUAACACGUGGGAACGUGCCCUAUGUUUCGGAACAACCCAGGGAAACUUGGGCUAAUACCGGAUAAGCCCUUACGGGGAAUGCGUUAUCGCCGAAGGAUCGGCCGGCGUCUGAUUGGCUAGUUGGUGGGGUAAUGGCCCACCAAGGCGACGAUCAGUAGCUGGUCUGAGAGGAUGAUCAGCCUCACUGGGACUGAGACACGGCGCAGACUCCUACGGGAGGCAGCAGUGGGGAAUAUUGGACAAUGGGCGAAAGCCUGAUCCAGCCAUGCCGCGUGGGUGAUGAAGGCCCUAGGGUUGUAAAGCCCUUUCGGCGGGGAAGAUAAUGACGGUACCCGCAGAAGAAGCCCCGGCUAACUUCGUGCCAGCAGCCGCAGUAA